AUUGAACGCUGGCGGCAUGCCUUACACAUGCAAGUCGAACGGUAACGGGUCCUUCGGGAUGCCGACGAGUGGCGAACGGGUGAGUAAUAUAUCGGAACGUGCCCAGUAGUGGGGGAUAACUGCUCGAAAGAGCAGCUAAUACCGCAUACGACCUGAGGGUGAAAGGGGGGGAUCGCAAGACCUCUCGCUAUUGGAGCGGCCGAUAUCAGAUUAGCCAGUUGGUGGGGUAAAGGCCUACCAAGGCAACGAUCUGUAGUUGGUCUGAGAGGACGACCAGCCACACUGGGACUGAGACACGGCCCAGACUCCUACGGGAGGCAGCAGUGGGGAAUUUUGGACAAUGGGCGCAAGCCUGAUCCAGCAAUGCCGCGUGCAGGAAGAAGGCCUUCGGGUUGUAAACUGCUUUUGUCAGGGAAGAAAUCUUCUGGGCUAAUACCCCGGGAGGAUGA
rnacentral:rRNA from 1 species